UACGUAGGGUCCGAGCGUUGUCCGGAAUUACUGGGCGUAAAGAGCUCGUUAGGUGGUUUGUCGCGUUGUUCGUGAAAACUCACAGCUCAACUGUGGGCGUGCGGGCGAUACGGGGCAGACUAGAGUACUGCAGGGGAGACUGGAAUUCCUGGUGUAGCGGUGGAAUGCGCAGAUAGUCAGGAGGAACACCGGUGGCGAAGGCGGGUCUCUGGGGC
rnacentral:rRNA from 1 species